rnacentral:lncRNA from 1 species
AUAACCACCUUCCCUUGAAUAUUACCGGAGCUUCUCGAAUAUUAGUUUGAAUCACUGACUAUGCCGCCGGGGUACGGCGGCGCCGCCCCCAAAUCACCUCAAGUUCACUCUCUGCAACCCCCAUGCCUCCCUCAUGCCAAAUCCAUACUCAAUCUCACUCAAAAACCUCCACAAUCGCUCAAAACCCAAAUCUAGGGUUUUUCAAUUUCUCUGAUAGUGCAUAAAGGCCCUAACUCGAGUUCAGAGUCUGAUUCAACUAAGCUAAGUCUUCUAUGUUUCUUUGUCUUAUUUUAUUUUCCCUUCGCCUCAUCUCUUGUCCAUUAAUUUGGUUAUUUUGUCAAAAAUCCUGAGUUUAAGUUUAAUUAGGGUUGUAUUAGUUUUAUUUUUGUUGAAUAGUUUAGUUAAGUUAAUUAGGGUUGUAGUUUUAUUUUGUCUACUUUCCCGAGUUUUAAUCAAGAAUGCACCAGUAUUAUGUUCCUGAGUUAAAUCAAGUCUUUUGUGAUUAGAUUUCAUGUUUAGUCUUGAGUUCGAAUUAGUUUUCAUUCAUGAUAAAUCCUGAGGUUAUUGUUCCAUGAUGGGCUCAUAUAUCACUUUGGUUUUCCAUUUUUGUUUUUCUGCAUUUCUUUAAGAACUUUCAUACUUUGAUCCAUUUGGAAUUUCAUUUGCUUGUUUAAAACUUCAAAAUUUAGUCUAUCAAUUUAAAGAAAUUCGACGGAAGGGGUAGAAUGUAACUAGUAGGACAGUUGAGGGUAGUUUGGAUAUUUGGCUAAGGGCAUCUUUUAAUAACUG